rnacentral:ncRNA from 1 species
GUUGGCUCAACCAGCCUCAGCCCUCCUGCCUGCAGCCUGCCUGCAGCAGGCAGGCAGGCAGGUCGGGGCUACGGUCGAAAGUGAAGAGAAAUCGACUCACCCUAGGGUGCAUCUCCCAGCCCUAGGCUCUGAGGUCAAAAUCGAACUAGCACAUUGCGGCAAGUGUGCGAACGAUGAGACUGAACGACCUUUCGAUUCUUUGGCGAGGGAACCUUAACUUUUAGAGUAGCGAAAGCUA